GUGCAGCAGGCGAGAAUUUUUCUCAAUGGGGGAAACCCUGAAGGAGCGACGCCGCGUGGAGGAUGAAGGUCUUCGGGUUGUAAACUCCUGUCAUUUGAGAACAAGGUGCACAUGUUAACUGCAUGUGCAUUGAUAGUAUCAGAAGAGGAAGGGACGGCUAACUCUGUGCCAGCAGCCGCGGUAAUACAGAGGUCCCAAGCGUUGUUCGGAUUCAUUGGGCGUAAAGGGUGUGUAGGUGGCGCCGUAAGUCGGGUGUGAAAUCUCGGGGCUUAACUCCGAAACUGCAUUCGAUACUGCGGUGCUUGAGGACUGGAGAGGAGACUGGAAUUCAUGGUGUAGCAGUGAAAUGCGUAGAGAUCAUGAGGAAGACCAGUGGCGAAGGCGGGUCUCUGGACAGUUCCUGACACUGAGACACGAAGGCCAGGGGAGCAAACGGGAUUAGAUACCCGUGUAGU
rnacentral:rRNA from 1 species